GGGCCCGCCCCCAGGGCGGCAGCCCCCCCGCCGGCCCGGUCACUGGGCGGCCCGCUGCUGACGUGGGGAGACGUGGGCGCAGUCACGGGCUGAAGCCGCGUUCUCUGCCGGCGCGCGGAGCCGCCCAGUCCCGGGAACCAAGUGCCCCCUCCAGCCGGGGCAUAAAUAACGCACGAGCAAGUCCAGUCCGUCGGAGCUGCCCGGGUCACGCAGCGGCUGGUCCAGGGCCGCGUGACCCAGCUCGGCGCUAAGGCCAUUUCAAACGGAAAACCUUUAUUAGCCCACUGCUAUUUCCACCUGUCACCCCGCCCCGUGCCCGCGCGCCUGGACAGCCCAGUCCCUAACGAGUGACGGGAGCGAACCUCACAGACGUUUAACACUGAAAUAGGUUUACAUUUGAGCUACAGCCUUUGUUUCAUGUAACCAGCUCACAGGCCUGCUGUUAAUAGGGACAAAACAGCUGCCUAAUUCCCCUAACUUGGGAGAAAAUUCCUCCUUGAAACAUAUUUCUUCACUAUCACCUUCAAAUAAUCAUCCUCCACUGCGAAGUACCUGGGGUAUAUGGAGGGGAGAACAUCCACUGGCAGUUGAGCUAGUAGACUGGGUCUGGGCAGUGUUGUCUGUCCACUUUAGCUUAUGACCACCUAAGGUAGGACGCUUUAUGCCUAGCUAUACUGUACUGAACACACUGACAGGGGUCAGCUAAGACUGGAUUUAUUCUGUUCCUGUGACAUUCCCUUCCAUUGCGGCCAUCUAGGUUCUGCUCCAGCAUAUGCAUCCUGAUGUGACACUACCCCUCAACGCAAAACCCACAGAUGGCAAGCAAGAACAGGAUGAGUAAUUGGAAAGUGACACCAGCGAGAGAAUGGACCCAGCGCAGAUAAACCCCAAAGGAAAGGAAAGAUCAUUACUUGACCAGGUGAAAGAUGAGUCGCUCCAGGGUGUUGUGAUUGGCUUGUGGGAGUUGUUCAAGGACACUGUAAAUGGCAACAAGUUGCUCCUGCUUUUCUGGUAACUCUGCAUAAGAAGAGACGAGCACAGCAAGAUCUCAGGACACUCAGGAGCUCACAGCAGUUCUAAAGCACCAGCAAUUAAUGCCAGAAUACGUGAAUGCUCUUGGAGGUGUUUGGGGAUCUUAAGCUAAAACCAUCUCUGAACCUCUUGUGUUGCUUAAUACUUCAGAAGCCUUGGCUGUCACUUCAUUUACUCACUCGAUUAUAGUGACUGACAACAGCACACACCAGAUGGUAUUAGUUUCCCCCCCUUUUCACAUGUUUGUAACAGCAUGGCAAGGACAGAGUGACAAAUGCAAGGAAUGUCAGACUCCAGGUCUGUUCACAUAUUUUGCACUUAAUAUACUAACAUUCCCCCCCCCAAGAAAGGGGAGUGUCAUUAUAGAUGCUGCUAUUCUGAAAAGUGAGACAGGAAUCUUGACAUCAGAAAGCCAAAAAAUGGAUUUUCCCCCAGGAAUUUCUGUUUCCUAGGACAAAUUUUAGAGUGACUGCUGUAGAGAUGACUAGGAAGAGGCCAUAUAACACACAGAGUUAGUGCCGGGGCACUAAAUCCUUCUCCAAGACAGAGAACAAGUGAAAACAUUCCUGUUGCUCUAGAAAUUGUUGACAAAACCCACCUACUGCUCGGAGAAAGUCACUGUACUGUGCAAAAGUCAUGAGUGGGUCAGGUAACUCUCGCAGCCAUUGCUUCAGGAUGCCAGUGAUGGUGUGAAUGGGAUAAUUCUCUAGUUUCACUGAAUUUGGAUCUGAAAAGAGAGUUACUAGAUUUAGCCCAUUUGAUUCCUUUGAUGCACACAAUCAGUUCCCAAAGAAGGGAGCCUACAAAGAAUUCAAGCACUAGCCUAUCUACUCCCCUGGAGCCCAUUUGACUACUCAAAAUGUGCCUGCAAGAUAUACAUUUAUGAGCAUGAACAGAUUAGCAAGCUAAUCAGUAAUACAGGCUCCAUAUUGCACAUGUUAGUGCAGAGCAGUUUUUCUGAUAAGAAAUAGUCUUACAGAUGCUCUCAGAAUAGCAGGGCAGCUGAAUUGUGUGCUGGGAAGCAGGAAAGGUGGACAGCAUUAUUUAGACAUACCUGUCUGCAGCAACUGUUUCAGCUCCCUCAUGCGAUUUGCUGACCCUGAUUUCCUGUAGAUUCCUUCUGUGUAGAGGCCAUGCAUCUCCACAUACUCUAGUAGUUUCUCCAUGACAACUGGGACUGAAUUCUUAUCGCUAAUUAAGGAACUCACACACACUCCGAAGUGACGGGAGUCUACACCUUGGUCGUUCUGGAAUUGAUACAGGUCAAGUGUCACAUGGAUUCCUGUUUCCAGGCUACCAACCUCAUUUAAGUUAGGACCUCCUGCUACACCUAAAUGAAAGCUGAAUGUUUUAUGCCAUGCUUGUUACUAACUUUUGGUCACAAGACGCCCACUGGUGAGAAUGGCGUCUGGGCUGUGGCACUGGGUGAGAUUUUCAGUUGUUGGUACAAUCAGGCCAUCACUGCCUAACAGUUGGUCUAACACAUUACACAUGUGUACUCUGAGGGAAGGACUUCUCUUACCUUUUUUCCACAGGGCGAUGUGCAGCAGCUCUGAGUUUUGGACAUGCAUUUCUUGUGGCAAAUCAACUUGCAGGCUACAGAGGAGAGGGACUGUUACUAACAGAUCAAAGCAGAUUCAAAUGCAGAGUUUCCUCUGUUUCCCAUUUGCUGUUAGUCUCUAUAGAAUCUGAAUAAACUGCAUACUGGAGUUUUCCCCAAAAUACAGAUUACCCUCUGCAUCGGAGAUGGAAAAAUAUUCUUAGCUGUAGGACUGCUCCAGUUGGGAUAUGCCAAUAUCACUUCAAGUCAUUAGGAAACCCAAGUGGUCAGGAGGUUUUCCUCCCUCAUUUCACCUCAUCCUGAACUCUUCAGCCACAGAAAAGGGACAUGUAGUUUCUUUGAGUGAUGGUGUUGCUGCUGCUCCAUGAAGUGGCUGGCAAGAAUUGCCAGAACCCUACCUACCACCUGUGCCAGCCAGCUUGCACAUGCACCCCCAUGGCAACUUGUUCAGGUGCCCUCCACCUGCAAGGUCUUUCCUGCCCAGGCCCCACCACUUGCAAAGCGCUCUCAGCCCAGACCCCCACCAACAAGGCUAUGCCUGGGCACAACUGUGCCCACCAAAGUGGUAAGGAUCUUCAAUUUUUAAAAACCAAAUGGCAAGAAUGAGCCAUUUCCACUUACUACUGCAAAGACAGGCCUUCUCCAUAGGCCAGAUGUAGGACGAGCACUGCUCACAUGACUGCCGAAUGCUCACUUGGUAGCUCGUGAACACAUGGCCAUUGUGCUCCUCAAUCUGGGUGGGGGGAAGGGGAGAAGUUAAUAGCUCCCUUUGUUUAUUUUCUUUAGAAACAAUCUGAGCUAUCGCCACCUUAUUUUUUCUCCUCUCUUCCACAAUUCAAACUGAUAGAGGGAAAUCUGACUUCUGGUGUAAGGCUAAGCCAGUGGCUCUCAACCUUUCCAGACGACUGUACCCCCUGCAGGAGUCAUGCAUACCCCACGUUUCGCCUCACUCAACGACUUGUUUACAAAAUCAGACAUAAAAGUACCAAAAAGUGUCCCAGCACACUUUUACGGAACAAUGGCUGACUUUCUCAUUUUUACCAUAUAGUUAUAAAAUAAAUCAAUUGGAAUAUAAAUAUUGUACAUCUAUAUAGGCUACACUGUAAUGUAGCAGUAUAACCAGCUCAUUGUUUGUAUGAAAUUUUAGUCUGUUCUGACUACGUUAGUGCUUUUUAUGUAGCCUGUUGUAAAAUUAGACAAAUAUCUAGAAGAGUUGAUGUACCCCCUAAAAGACCUCUGUGUACCCCUGGUUGAGAACCACUGCUCUCAACCCAAGAUAAUUAGUGUUGGUCUGUUUCAUAAUUAAGGCAUUUAUUAGACACAGUUACUUUAACCCAGUCACCCAUCAGAUGCAGUCUGCUACUAACAUUUAGCAGUCAGCCCUCCCCUUUAAACAAUUUCCUCAUUUAAAAAAAAACAGUCUGUCCUAAAAAGCAUCCCAGGUGAGGUGAGAUGUAUGCAUUUAGGAACACACCAGGCUGCACAAGACAACAGACCAGUGAUUCUUCUAAUCCAGAAGCCAAUGCUAGAAAUUUGAUGCAAGUGGUGAAAACCCACCUAAUUGCCUGGAUUUGGCUCAAUAACAUCCUACCACUGCAAGUUCCACGGUGCAAUUACAUGCUGUUUUACAAUUGUGGCCUUUCAGUUUCACUAAGUGCACCUUGCUUGCUUGAUGGGACAGGAAUAAACAGAACCCUGACAGGCUAGAGGGAUAUAAAACAACUGGUGAUGCUGGGAGAGCUAAUCUCCUAGGACACCUCUGCUUUCCAAAAGAAAAAGCCCUGCUCUUUCAAGAAUCCUUCCAAAUGCUUAAUCAUUCUUGGUGCUCUUCCUUGGACCUUUCAUAUUUCUUCUACGUAAUUUCUGAGAGGAGGGGACCAAAUCUAUAAGGCAAGGAAUUGCCAUUAUUUUUUGGUGUGAUAUUUUUCUCUAUCCUUUAAUAGAACUGCUAUCUUAUUCCCUGUUCUGAUGGCUCGUGUUCACAAUACAGUACAAAUAUUUUCAUGGAGCCAUCCACAAUGCCUUGAUCUUUGCCCUGAGAGAUUACUUGACAUUCAGCCCCCAACAACGGUGAUUGGAGUUUCAAUGGCAUUACUGCACUUGUCCAGGGUGAGUUACAUCUAUUACAUUGGGUUGGUAGCGCUGGUGAUUAUCUUCAGCAAAACCUUUUUUUUAAUUAUAUAUAUAUAUAUAUAAAAAUGUUUUAAGUGACUCUGGAGGUACCCGGCCCACCUCCAGGAACGGUUCUGCACACCUUGCUGCAUUGUGGAAGAUAACAGCUAUAAAGCUCCAUGAAGAAGAGAUGACGUUAGUUUGGUUUGCAAACCAAGAAGCCACAUUAGUAUAAGCAGCUUUUUGCAGUAGGAGGAUCCUGUGGCACCUAGUACUGUGCGACCUCAUGCAUGGCGGGGGACUUUGUGCGUUACCACAAUAAAAAAAAAAUAAUAAUACUACUCACUGCACGCUCUUGUUUUCGUUUCUUCUUCUGGGUUUUGCUUUGCUGCAGUGAGAUACACAAAGGUAUAUUAAUCUGUGAACGCCAAAGAUUUCCUCUCCCUCACAAUGUUACUGCCCCCACUCCAGCUUCAUCUGAGGCUCUACAUUGCAGCCUCCACCUGUUAGCAUAACACAGCUGGAUAAGGCUCCUCUCAGAGUUCAAACCAUCUCCUGAAUCCGCUGGAAGGGGGUCACUGUCUGGUGAUAAAACAUUGGAAUUGCUGAACCCUACCAAGAA